rnacentral:rRNA from 1 species
GCUCAACCGGGGAGGGUCAUUGGAAACUGGGGGACUUGAGUGCAGAAGAGGAGAGUGGAAUUCCACGUGUAGCGGUGAAAUGCGUAGAGAUGUGGAGGAACACCAGUGGCGAAGGCGACUCUCUGGUCUGUAACUGACGCUGAGGAGCGAAAGCGUGGGGAGCGAACAGGAUUAGAUACCCUGGUAGUCCACGCCGUAAACGAUGAGUGCUAAGUGUUAGGGGGUUUCCGCCCCUUAGUGCUGCAGCUAACGCAUUAAGCACUCCGCCUGGGGAGUACGGUCGCAAGACUGAAACUCAAAGGAAUUGACGGGGGCCCGCACAAGCGGUGGAGCAUGUGGUUUAAUUCGAAGCAACGCGAAGAACCUUACCAGGUUUUGACAUCCUCUGACAAUCCUAGAGAUAGGACGUCCCCUUCGGGGGCAGAGUGACAGGUGGUGCAUGGUUGUCGUCAGCUCGUGUCGUGAGAUGUUGGGUUAAGUCCCGCAACGAGCGCAACCCUUGAUCUUAGUUGCCAGCAUUCAGUUGGGCACUCUAAGGUGACUGCCGGUGACAAACCGGAGGAAGGUGGGGAUGACGUCAAAUCAUCAUGCCCCUUAUGACCUGGGCUACACACGUGCUACAAUGGACAGAACAAAG